rnacentral:rRNA from 1 species
UACAGAGGUCUCAACCGUUGUUCGGAUUCAUUGGGCGUAAAGAGCUCGUAGGCGGCUCAUUGCGUCAACCGUGAAAACCAGCAGCUCAACUGUUGGCUUGCGGUUGAUACGGGUGGGCUGGAGUUCGGUAGGGGAGACUGGAAUUCCUGGUGUAGCGGUGAAAUGCGCAGAUAUCAGGAGGAACACCGGUGGCGAAGGCGGGUCUCUGGGCCGAUACUGACGCUGAGGAGCGAAAGCGUGGGGAGCGAACAGG